UUACACACCCUCAUAAAUCUAUGGCCCCUGUAGCAUUUAUGUCGGUGGCCUGUGAUCUAGGGUGAUAGGCAUGUCCGGACAUAACCGCCCUCCCUCCUGUGCCUUGACUCUUUUCUCUGUAGCGUGUAUGAAAGAAACAAAAGGUCAGGGGUGAACCUUGUCGCAUGACAACGGGCUGACAGGCUCAGUUGCUAAGGGGAUAGGUGACAGGGUGGCACGGACGUGGGGUGACAAGGUGAUGGCAUGAGGUGACAGAAAAGUUACCAGCUCUGAGUCACAGCCGUGACGUGCUGAAACAGCCGUGGGGGAGGCAUACAUACUCCUGUUGGCAGUUUAGGAGAACCAGGGGGAGGAAAUGAAAGGCUCAAGAAGAAUCAGACAUUGCUAUGGAUGAACUCAUCACCCAGAUGUUCACAUCCCACAUCAUUGCUUUCCAAUCACCACUGGAUUUAUUUUGUAUACAAAAAUACUCUUUUCCAAUGUUUUUAUUCAGUCUAGUUUAGACGAUGAGGCUAAAUGUAUUAUAACCAUUAUGGAUUUUUUACAGCAACGAAAAAAACAAUAUAAAUAUUGCUGUAGUCUUAUGUCA